CCACUUUUUUUUUUUUAUUUUCCAGAUAACCUUACCGAUUUCACAUUAUUUUAUUUACGUGCAAAUCAUCAAGUGUCUAUAAAUCACAUGGCAUGCUUGAAAACAAGAACAAUUUAAUUUAUCAUAUCUAUCAGACACGAAACAUGCAAAUAGGCAAAAUCACAUAACCAUUAAUUUAAUUUCUGUCUAAAAAUACUCCUUAAGAAGUUUAAAGAAAUAUUAGAUUCUUUACCGAAACUUUGAUAAUUUCUCCUACACCGUUCUUCUCUUCCUCUUUUUCUCUCUCUAGAUCAUUCUCUUUUUCUCUCUCUCUCUCUAACUCUUGAAAGGUGGAAAAAUGGAACUGAGGAGAAAAUGGAAGGAAGGGCCCCUAUUUAUAAAAAACAGGAGUUAUUGGAUUUACGCCAAGUGGCAAAAUCUGGUGAAGAGAGAGAGUAAAAAGAGACUUGGCAUAAAAAAUGGAGGAAACAGACCUCCUUCACUGCUACCGGCACCUUAAGUGGCGGCAUGCCGCCCAAGGUGGGUAGCACAUUGCCCAAGGUGGUAGUAGCCUCACCUACCCAACGCGCGCUACAGGCCUAGUCUACAAGCACUGGGCUGCCCUGCCGCGCGCAGUGCCUAGGCACGCUGGGGCACCACGCGCAAGCCUGCUGCACGGACAGUGCGGGCACAAUAUGUGACACCUACCUGUCCGCGCAC
rnacentral:lncRNA from 1 species